rnacentral:rRNA from 1 species
GACGAACGCUGGCGGCGUGCCCAAUACAUGCAAGUCGAACGAGAGCGACCGGUGCUUGCACUGGUCAAUCUAGUGGCGAACGGGUGAGUAACACGUGGGUAACCUGCCCAUCAGAGGGGGAUAACAUUCGGAAACGGAUGCUAAAACCGCAUAGGUCUUCGAGCCGCAUGGCUUGAAGAGGAAAAGAGGCGCAAGCUUCUGCUGAUGGAUGGACCCGCGGUGCAUUAGCUAGUUGGUGAGGUAACGGCUCACCAAGGCAGUGAUGCAUAGCCGACCUGAGAGGGUGAUCGGCCACAUUGGGACUGAGACACGGCCCAAACUCCUACGGGAGGCAGCAGUAGGGAAUCUUCCGCAAUGGACGCAAGUCUGACGGAGCAACGCCGCGUGAGUGAAGAAGGUUUUCGGAUCGUAAAACUCUGUUGUUAGAGAAGAACAAGUGCUAGAGUAACUGUUAGCGCCUUGACG